AUAUAUCUUGUAAUGGGCCUUUAGGAAAGCCAACCAGGCUGCCUGGCCUGAUAAUCUAUGCUAUGGAAGACAGAUCACCUCUCCAUAUCAUUUUAGUCACAUCCUGAGGUGUUGACAUGAGUCCUCGGUCCUUCCUAGUCCCAAACCGCUGCCCUUCACAGUUGUCCCGACCUACCGACCCCUCCCUGGUGUCAUCUGUGGGUCGGAGGUGUGCUGCCCAGCGCUGCGGGGUCUGCGGAGCGGCUUGCAGAGAGCUGCGGGGUCUAUCCCGGGUCUGUCCUGGGCUCUGUACAGGUCAGUGCUGGGCACCGGCAGGGUCUGUGCAGGUCUGUGCAGGGACCUGUGUGGGGCAGGGUCUGCGGGGAUCUGUGCAGGUCAGUGCCGGGUGCCGGCGGGGUCUGCCAGGAGUCAGUCCUGGGUGCCGGUGGGGUCUGCGGGGGUCUGUGCAGGGACCUGUGUGGGGCAGGGUCUGCAGGUUCUGUGCGGGGCGCCGGCGGGGUCUGUGGGGAUCUGUGUGGGGUGCCGGAGGGGUCUACGAGGCUCUCUGCAGGUCAAUGCCGGGUGCAGGCGGGGUGUGCAGGAUCUAUGUGGGGGCAGGGUCUGCGGGGAUCAAUGUAGGUCUGUGCGGGGCGCUGGUGGGACCUGCAGGGGUCUGUCGGGGGGAUCCGUGUGGCGAUCUUGGAGGGGGGGGUCUGUGCAGGGCGCUGGCGGGGAUGUACGGGGGAAUCCGUGCGGAGAUCAUGCAGGUCUCUGCGGGGCACUGGCAGGGAUCCGCAGGGGGAUUUGUGGGGUAUCCUCUGGGAGAUCCACGCGGGGAUCCACGCACCGGCUCAUCCGCGUUGUCCGCCUCGCCCAGCUUGGAGGCAGUGGGAGUUUCUGUGGUGGGUCUGCCAGCCAUUUGACUCUUACCGCGAAGUGCUAGCAUCCUUCCUGGCUGCCCAGGUUUCUGGUGUGGUUGCUCUUUCUCGCACUGGUUUCCCAGAGCUCUUCGUUUACCGAGGGAGCUAGCCCCGUGUCUGUCCAGUGUCCCAGGCGGAAAAGUGCCGUCUCCCACUUUCUCGUUUGUCUUUACCCUUCGACAUACACGGUUUUGCCCGCCGGAUUUUCACUUUUUGGACAAAUGUAUGUUUUUCUCAUUUUCUUCAUUGGUUUUGUGUUUGGGAGUCGUUAGUUGGCCCUUCUCCAUGCCCCCCCCCCCUUUGUGUGGGGGUCACAUCCACUCGCCCCCUCCCCCCCAGACCCUCUCUGGGGCCCCUAGUGUCAGCUCAGUUGACGUCAACCUCCUGCCUUCGCGCCAAGCUGUCGGCACGGCAACCAUAGCCUGAUUGGCAGGGCCCAGAGGCGUGGCGAGGGGCCCGGGGUGGGCAGCUCGGCCGCUGAUUGGCCCGCACUGGAGCCCCGCCUCUGCGGAGAGCCUGACAAGGAGAUGCACGCAGAGGCUCGGUGCAGACGACGGGAGCUGCAGGAGGACGAGGUCGGAGUGGAAGAGCGGGCAUGUCCACCUUGGGCUGGUGGCGCCGCAGGGCGCCAGGAGCCCUGUGGGUGUGCUAGACCGUGCACGCGGGCUGCGCCCCGGUCGGCCCUGAGGCAGUGUGGUGAGGGGAGGUGAGUUGGGCCAGUCCCCAUCAGUAUGAUGUCAGGAGGCGGCGCGGCGGUCACACGCUGCCGUCCAGGGUCCCGGUCAGCGGUGCGGGGGACGGCCGUUGGACU
rnacentral:lncRNA from 12 species